rnacentral:rRNA from 1 species
UGCAGUCGAGCGCGAAAGUGACUUCGGUCACGAGUAGAGCGGCGGACGGGUGAGUAACACGUGGAUAACCUACCUGCGAGCGGGGGACAACUCGGGGAAACUUGAGCUAAUACCGCAUGCGCUCGCACGAUCUCGAUCGUGUGAGGAAAGACGGCCUCUUCUUGAAAGCUGUCACUCGCAGAGGGGUCCGCGUCUGAUUAGCUAGUUGGUGGGGUAACGGCCUACCAAGGCGACGAUCAGUAGCCGGCCUGAGAGGGUGAUCGGCCACACUGGAACUGAGACACGGUCCAGACUCCUACGGGAGGCAGCAGUGGGGAAUAUUGGACAAUGGGCGAAAGCCUGAUCCAGCAACGCCGCGUGGAGGAUGACGGUUUUCGGAUUGUAAACUCCUGUCAGGUGGGACGAAAAGAGCUGGUGAAUAGCCAGACUCGUUGACGGUACCACCAGAGGAAGCCCCGGCUAACUCCGUGCCAGCAGCCGCGGUAAUACGGAGGGGGCGAGCGUUAUUCGGAGUUAUUGGGCGUAAAGGGCGCGUAGGCGGCCUGAUAAGUCAGGGGUGAAAUCCCUCGGCUCAACCGAGGAACUGCCUCUGAAACUGUCAAGCUAGAGGCCGGGAGAGGGUAGCGGAAUUCCCAGUGUAGCGGUGAAAUGCGUAGAUAUUGGGAGGAACACCAGUGGCGAAGGCGGCUACCUGGACCGGUUCUGACGCUGAGGCGCGAAAGUGUGGGGAGCAAACAGGAUUAGAUACCCUGGUAGUCCACACUGUAAACGAUGAGCACUCGGUGCAGCGGGUGUCGACUCCUGCUGUGCCUUAGGUAACCCGUUAAGUGCUCCGCCUGGGGAGUACGGUCGCAAGGCUGAAACUCAAAGGAAUUGACGGGGGCCCGCACAAGCGGUGGAGCAU